rnacentral:lncRNA from 1 species
UAUCAAUAAAGAUCUUCAAACACUGUACUCUUUUUCCUUCGUCCAGGUUUUUAUCCCACUGGGUUUUUCCUGGCAAGGUUUUAACGAGGCAGUGUCGCACGCGCGUCAAUAUACAUAGAAUUUAAUAUUACACAUGAUUAUGUACUCUUUUUCCCUUUGACCAGUUUUUGUCACACUGGGUUUUUACUGGCAAGGUUUUUAACGAGACAUAUUCUGUAUCAUUUGUGGUCUCCAAGGGGGAGUGUUGUAAAUGUGGAGCCCAAAUGCCUAUAAAUAGGGCUUCUCCAUUUGUAACAAAACACACAAUAAGAAGAGAAAAACUUCUCUCUCUCUCUCCAUCUAAAUUCUCUGUCAAUUCCCUCUCCAAUUCCUCUUGAUUUAUAACAAGUUGUAUAUUUUUUUUGGCCUAUUGAGUAAACUAUUGCGUACAAAAGUACUAAAUUGAAAUGAGUGGUUUUUUCCCAUAAAUGUAGUAUAAUUUUACUAUUAUAUUCACAUUAAAAUACAAUUUUGACAAGUAUUGAUUUGUGGUGAGGGGUCCAUAGGCUUAAGUAUAGCAAUUUUUCUUUGCAUUUGUUACCACAUCCAAUAUAUACAUUCAAAAGGGUUAAAUAAAUUGGAGGGGCCAAGGCCAUCCCAGGCCUUAGUACAGCUCCGCCCCUGUGUCCAGAGAUUAAGGUACGGGCUCCAUUUGCUUCUGUGGCUAUUUCUCCGGAACAUGUUGCACAGGCGAUGAGUUUUUCUCAAAUACUUCUUUCUGACUUCGUUCUCUUCUCUGUAUAGUUUUGCUGGAUAUAAUUCAGUAGAAAUGCUAGCUUUAUAUUGGCCCCUUUUUUUUUCUUCUCAUUUCCUGGAAAUAUAAAUCUCGUGCAAGCUUUACUGGUCCUUUUCUCUCCUUUCCCUUCUUUUUGUUUAAUUAAGCAUAUACAGAAUCAAGAUAUUCAUGUGGUAAAAACUACAAGAGUUCUUUUGUUUACCUUGUAAAGAGAGUAAGUGGGUGUCCAAUUUGAACCAAAAAAAUUUCAUUUCCCUGUUUCACAUAAAAUUGAAAAACUGAAAUUAAUUACCAAACAACUUUUUUCAGUUAUUUUUUUUAAAAUUGAAAAUAAAAAACUGAUGGUUAUCAAACGAACCCUUAAUAUUUUCGUUUCGUCUUGUUUGAGUGGGAUCCCUUUACAUAUUUUAUUGGUUUGUUUUGUAAUUCUUUGUCAUAGGGUUCAGGGAUUAUGAUUAUGAUUUCAUCUUUUCCAGUUAAGGGAUUAUGAUUUCGAAACUUGAUGCUUACCUUUAUUUAUUUUUUAUGUUGAGUCUGAAAAAAGAAAAUGAUUUGGUUGUAAAUUUGUGAAUAAUAGGAUGGUAUGAAAAAAGCUCAAAAAAAAAUUAGAACCCGUUUGAUGACUAUUUCGGUAUUUUAUUUUUAGUUUCUAUUUUUCAAUUCAAAGAAAUUGAAAGCAUAAAACUUCUUUGGUUAUUAAUUUUAAGGCCUCGUUUGAUAACCAUUUUAUUUUAUUUUCUGUUUUUUUAUUAUUAUUAAAGAAAAACAGAAAACAUAUUUGAUAAAACUUUUCAUUGUCAGAUUUCAAAGUUACCCUUUCUAAUUCUCAUGAAUCAAACAUUUUCAAAUAAUCCAUUCUCUAAAACAAACAGUGCUUAAUAAGUAUUGACAUCUGAAUCAAUACUUGAUGAACUAUCUAAGACAACAUGCAAACUACGUUCAUUAGAUAUAUGCUUUUGACCUCAUUAUUCUUGUAGUGACCUACAAUUAGAAUAGUACACUACAAUUAGAAUAGUAUAUUAUCAUUUUGCAUGUCGAAACGGUUUUCGAUUUAUCUAAUUUUUUGUAAGGAUGAUUUAUGAAUGAAGACCUAAAAAAUAGAGAGUUUGGAUCAUUGAAAAAAAUAUUCGUAGAGUACCUUAAAGGGUGUCCCUUAAAUAAAAUUAUUUGAAGGAUCCUCAAUAUAUAUAUAUGUACAUGAUGAGUAGUAUAUAUAUUAUAACAUAAUCAAAGCCAAUUGUUAGAUUUCCUUCAUGAUUAUAACACAUUAUAUAAUAAUUCAUGUUUCUUCAAUAGAUUCUACAAAGGGCCACUUGUUAGAUUUGUAGGCUCACUCCGCAUUGUAUUUCAUUAAUCUAAAUUCUACAUUCUAGAUAAUCAUUCAAAAAUCAUAUCUACAAAAAAUCACUUGAAUCCGAUAUUGUUUGACCACUCAAUUGUGUUAUUGAAAUUUUAGUACUUUCUUGAAGCACUGUGUUCUUUGAUUUUGUAGGAUACAAUUGGAUGUCGAAACGGUUUCCGAUUUAUCUAAUUUUUUGUAAAGAUGACGAGUAGUGUAUAUUCUUUUAAAAACAACAUAAAAAUAGUGGUAUGUUGUAAAAUAAAGAAGGUGGAGUCCAAAAUGAUGCUUACCUAUAAAGCUUCCCCCCCACUUGUAUUGGUAGGGAGAAGGUGGAGUCCAAAAUGGUAAUGAUGAUGCUUGCCAACACAAGAAGAAUGAUUAGGCAACCACUUUGUUCUGCCUACAAAUAAGGCUUCCUCCUCACUUGUAAUAUAUAGAACAUAGAUACAGAUAUGUGAAGAACUCUCUAUUCAAUAAGAGAUCAGUUUCUCUCUAUCUCAAUUCUCUCCAUUUUCUCUCUUGAUUUAUAACACGUUAUCAGCACGAAGCUCUAACCAGCUGAGUUUUCUGAUAAAAACCAGAGACCAAAAUCAACCGGAAUUCUCAGCUUCUCAAUCCCAAUCCUUGGAGGGGAAAUAUGGCUGAGCGGCAGAGCCGAAGAAAUAUCAAACACAUAAACGAGCCUGAAAAACAAAGAGAGUCUGCAGCCAGCAAUCCAAAGCAGAGAAAGAUCUCUGCUGGCGUCCUUGCCCGACUUGCCGUCCGUCACGUCAAAGACGUUGUAUUGGAUCAGCUGCUGUGCUGUUAGCUCCAUGGUUGCGUCCACACAGAUGCUAAAGGAGCAAAUGACAAGAAGCUCACAACUUGCGGGUCCUGGGCUUAGGCCAGCAGGUCAUAGUCCUAGCCCACGGCUUCGGCACCGACCAGUCGGUCUGAAAGCACCUCGUCCCCCACCGACUACAGAGUCGUCAUGUACGACAACAUGGGCGCCGGAACGACAAAGCCCGAAUACGCCGACUCGGUCACCUUCCCCACAGGCCGAGCAGAGUCCUCUGCCUUCUAAGAUCCUACCACCAAGCCUGCUUACAGCUUCAACAACCUGUCCUCUCAGUUUUUUGUGACAACAAACAGCCACCUCUUGUGAAAUGUGGUCAAGAGGGACAAUAUCCUAUCUGAUGAUGAAAGCUCAUCUUUUGGUCUGCGAAGCUUUUUAUGCACAGAAACAGGUGGACCUUGCUGGGCUUCAUGUUCUCCGGGAUGACGAAGAGCGGCGCGGAGAAGAUCAGGCCCGUCCAAGUGUCGGGCUGGGACUGGAAGUACAUGAGCAUGGUGGCAGCGCCGCCCAUGGACUCGCCGAAGAGGAAGGCAGGGAGGCGGAGGUAUAAUUCGUUGCGGCGCACGUGGAGGAAGAAGGAGAGUGAAGCUUCCUCUGACCAAUGCUCCCGAAGAAAAGCUUUUAACUCAGGAGCUACAGCCUCAUCAUCAGACCGAGCAAUACUGUCUGCAACAGCAUAAGUAGCUGCUGGAUCACCCAAGAAGUCGGAAUGGAGAAGAAAUGCAACACCAUCAAGAGAAAGACCACCACCUGUCAGAUGCGGCACAUGCGCACAUGCAACCUAAUAGUCUCCUGACCACUUGGCACAUGCGCACAUGCACACACGGUUUUGUGGCUACUAAUCUUGGUUAAACUGAAAACAGAUGCCUCCAUAUAUUUCUUUACGAUCAGAUGUGGGCCAUAUCUAUGAAUUGUUUUGUAGAUUGAUAUCUUUGAUGAUGGAUAUCGGUGGAGGAAGUAUGGUCAAAAAGUAAGCCACUAAAAGUGGUUGAAAGGCCGGUGUUGAUAUGAUGCAAGGCACUGGAAAUCUAGUAAGCAUGCCCAAAAAGUGACCCUAUGCUGGAGUAUAUUUUGAAAAGUGGGAUACACAGCAAGUUGAUCAGCCUAGUGGAAAGCAAAGGAUUAUUGCCAGGGAUAUGAACACCCACCGAAAUAAAGGGAUAAGUAUUCUGCCUCACUCUAUUUCCUUCAAUUAAAUACAUUAUUAAAAUAUCUACAGAAUUUAAUACUCAUGACCAGUGUAGAUUGCAGGUGGAAAGAAGAAAAAGCCAACGUGAUAUAUCUAGCUUUCCACUAAUAUAUCAGUAUAAUAAUAUUACACUAUUUAAUUGUGGUGUUGAUAAGAACCCACCAAUAAUUGCCUUUAUUUUUAUUUAAAAGUAUGGAGCAGAAUUAGUGCCCAUACAAGCACGUUUAAUUUACCGCACAUUUAAUUUUAUUUAAAGUAUGGUGCGGGAUUAACGUCCAUACAACAAGCAAUUUAAUUUAUGAAAUUAAUUUACCGCACAUUUACAUUUAUUUAAAAGGGUGGUGCGGGUUUAUCGUCCACGCCUUUACUUUUAUUUAAAUGUAUGGUGCGGGUUUAUCGUCCAUACCAGUAAUUUAUUUACCAGCAAUCUAUUUUAUGGAUUAAAUGUGUUGUAUGAUGAGUUUUUACAGUAAGCAGAUCAGGACCAGAAGUUCCUUGAUCCUCAUCAUACAAUUACAUCAGGACUUGAAGAUCCUUGAUGAUGAUGUUAAUAUGAGAGCUGGCAGUCUCUCCGGUACUAUAUUUGUAAACAUGUUAUUGGACUUGAGGGUCCUUGAUCCUUGACAUGUAAAUAAGGAACUCGGGUUCCUUAAUGAUGUAACAGUACCGUAUUGGUUCAUAAUGCUGUACACUUGGAUGAUAACUGUACUAGCAAAUGUACUGUACACAUAAAUAGUGCACUAUAUAUGAAUAGUGAUGUAUGCAUAAAUAUUUACCAUUUCGGGUAAACUAUCACCAUUCAAAAGGGACCUACAGUUCCUUAAACUCAUGGAUGAGCAAUUAAAUGAGAUGCCAGAAGUUCCUCAAAAUAUGGACAAUUAUGUAAGGACUUGAAGUCUAGAAAUAUGUACAGAAAAUUGUAAAAAUGUCCAUACCAUGAGAAUAUGUGAUUUUGGCCCGAAUUUCAAAAUCUAAGGGGAUUGAAUGUCCAUACCAUAAGAAUAUGUGAUUUUUGGCCUAAAAUUCAAAAUCUAACAGUGUUGAGAACCUGAAGUUCCAACAAUUAAAUGGACAACCCUUGAGGUAUUAUUGCAAAUUGUGGUACGCCACAUAUCUCUUUGGCAUAAGAGAAUGAUGAAUUGAGGCUCCCCACAUAUUUUGUUAUAUCUGGGCCGGAAGCUCAUGAACCCAAAUAUAUGAGAUAUUAGCGUGGCUUUUACUCAAUUCAUAUUUCAUGUCCAUUUUGAAAAGGGCAAAUAAAUUCUGAGUUUUGUGUUUAGCCCAGGCCAAAAAGUUCUGGGCUCCCAUACGUUGAAAUAUGAAAUUUGGGAGAGUCGAUGUGGUUAUUUGAACCUAUAAGGCACAAGGUUCCAAACCGUCAUUUUGAAAAGACGUAAAAACCACAGGUGCAAAUUUUAAGAAUGUGCGCAAUUAUUAUAACAGGAAAGGAGCAAGUUGAAACGCAGUUGCUCCAAUCAAGUUUUGCAAAGGCAAUAUCUAUAGGAAGAAAUAUGGCUACAGUUUCCAGGAUCCCAAUAUUAUCUCAGAUGCCCAUAUUAUCUUUUUCUUUCCCAGAUUCCAAAACUUCACGUGGCCUCCAUUAAAUGUUUGUCGGCACUUUCGGCGUUUUCAAAGUUUUAUUUUCAUCAAAAACCGAUCUUGCUUUACGGAUUUCACGGAGCUACUUUUUCAAAAGUACCCCGAGAAUCUCGCAAUUUUCUUAUGGUUAAUUUGAAAUUCACCGGUUCUACCUAUUCAUUAUAUUUGUGUAUAAAUGUGUUACUAACGAAAUUUUCUUUGCAGAAGACAUCUAGUUUUUCUCCAUACCUAGUGAUGCGAUACCUACUUGUUUUUCUAAUCAGUGAGCACUUAAUAUGCCCGAGAAGCAAGACUAUCUCUGAUCAUCCAUUCAGGAAGCGAGACUAUCCCUGAUCACGUUUCCGCUACAUCAGGAAACUGUGAAGGCGAUCUUAUGCUCUAAUCUCUGGAAGUCCUUCUAGACUAGGAGAUAUGAGAGCUUAUUGUCUGCUCCCACCAGCUUCCUUCCCUGAUUGCUUACCUUCUUUUUUUGCAUUUUUUCUCUUUCUGUAACUCUCUGAGGAUUAUUUGUUUUUGACAGAGAAAAGAGUUGUGAUUUUACUAUUGCAGGAUAUAACUAGAUCAUCAAGCGCUACAUUUACUGGGCCGAUACAAGCUUGAAUGAUACUUGAGAAAAGUUUCUCCCACCUAAGGAUGUAAGCAAUACUUGUGUUAUUUUUUGCUUAUAUACUUAUUUGAUAUUUUAUCUUGAAAGGUAACUAAAUGGGAAGAUAAGUCCGUUCCAAAAGAAUGGCUUGUAUGUAUCCAUGAAUUAUUAAUGCAAAUUUCACAGAUUGCAAGUUGGAUACAUUGAUAAUACACUGCAUAGAUUAAUGUACCAUAAGAACAGAAUAUGGGUAUAGCAGUGAUCAAUAUGAUGCACGCCUGUUGCGUAGCAAAUGAUAUGGAUUGAAGUCCCGAAAGAACAAUCCUUUGACAUGUCAAUAUUGAUAUUAUGCACGCCUAAUGCGUAGCAAAUUAUAUGGGUUAAAGUCCCAUAAUAUGGGUUAAAGUCCCAGAAAUUAAUUGACAUGUAUGUAUUAAUCUGUGGCAUGCCUGCAGCAUGACAGAUAUAUGGGUUCUAAAUGUUCCAACUCUCUAAACAGAGAUUAUCCACGCCCUACUGUAAAAUAACGCUCCAUUGGAGGUUAUAAUCCACAUUCUCACAUAAUAAAAGCCCCAUGAAGUGGCUUGGGUACCCAAAAGCAAAGAAAUGCUUAUAAUUAAUGCAUGCGCAUGCACAUGAGAAUGGUGAGAUCAUGAAUUGAUGAAUGACAAUUUUUGGUUUUGGAGUAGCUACUCAAAUCAUCAAUGGGCUGUGUUGAUUGGAACCACGUUCAAUUAUUAAAUGUCGACAAUAUUAUUGGCCAAAAUGGAAUGAUGUAAUUCCAUUAUAGAUGAGAAUGAACGUGAAAGAACAAACCCACAGUACGAACCCCAAAAGAUGUUAAUACUGAAACUUAUACUUGGGUGUUCGGAAUAAAAGGGAAUAUACCUACUUUGUAUGACACAAUGUUUCUGGCAGAAACAAGGAAUGUUGGGUUUUCUCCAUAUUUACAGAUUCAAUUGUGCCCCCCCCUUAUUACACAAUUACGAAGACCAACAUAUUAUCUUUAGGGGUUAUUAAAUGCACGGAGCAUAUCGCUAGAAGCGAUUUCCUAAAGAUGUAUAAAUAGCUGGGUUAAAGCUAUAUAAUGUGUCAUAAAGUUUAAUCCCUUUUAAACAAAAUCCGUUGAGAGGAUUGACAUUGCAUAAAGCAAGUCCCUAAAGGACAUGUGCUUGAAGCACAAAAUUUGUACUCAAUAUUAAUAUGCAUAAAUUACCUCAGUGAGUACAUUGAUUAUAAUGUGAUUGCAACACAUUAAAACUUCUGCAGAAUUCACGAAAUAUUUGUCUCGAUCGAGCAUUAUGCCAACGAGAUUCUUGCUUAUACUAAGAAAGUAUUGAAGCAUUUUUAUGAGUCUUAUCCGUUGGUCCUUAAAUGUUUUUCCGGAAGUAUACUAGACCAGAUAGAGCUCAGCUCCACACUGUACUCUUUUUCCUUCAUCCAGGUUUUUAUCCCACUGGGUUUUUCCUGGUAAGGUUUUAACGAGGCAGUGUCGCUCAAGAUUGACUCACAGAAGCAGUCUCAACUACGAUAUUCAGAAAGGUGAUCAACAGUAUGACUUAAAGAUAUUUUGCCAAGCAUCAGGGGGAGCGUGCUAUCAUUAAAGAUCUUCAAACACUGUACUCUUUUUCCUUCGUACAGGUUUUUAUCCCACUGGAUUUUUCCUGGCAAGGUUUUAACGAGGCAGUGUCGCACGCGCGUCAAUAUACAUAGAAUUUUAUGUUACACAUAAUUAUGUACUCUUUUUCCUUUGACCAGUUUUUUUUUUUUGUCCCACUGGGUUUUUACUGGCAAGGUUUUUAACGAGGCAUAUUACAUAUCAUUUGUGGUCUCCAAGGGGGAGUGUUGUAAAAUAAAGAAGGUGGAGUCCAAAAUGAUGCUUACCUAUAAAGCUUCCCCCCCACUUGUAUUGGUAGGGAGAAGGUGGAGUCCAAAAUGGUAAUGAUGAUGCUUGCCAACACAAGAAGAAUGAUUAGGCAACCACUUUGUUCUGCCUACAAAUAAGGCUUCCUC